rnacentral:rRNA from 1 species
GACGAACGCUGGCGGCGUGCUUAACACAUGCAAGUCGAACGGAAAGGCCCUGCUUUUAUGGGGUGCUCGAGUGGCGAACGGGUGAGUAACACGUGAGUAACCUGCCCUUGACUUUGGGAUAACUUCAGGAAACUGGGGCUAAUACCGGAUAGGAGCUCCUGCUGCAUGGUGGGGGUUGGAAAGUUUCGGCGGUUGGGGAUGGACUCGCGGCUUAUCAGCUUGUUGGUGGGGUAGUGGCUUACCAAGGCUUUGACGGGUAGCCGGCCUGAGAGGGUGACCGGCCUCAUUGGGACUGAGAUACGGCCCAGACUCCUACGGGAGGCAGCAGUGGGGAAUAUUGCACAAUGGGCGGACGCCUGAUGCAGCAACGCCGCGUGCGGGAUGACGGCCUUCGGGUUGUAAACCGCUUUCGCCUGUGACGAAGCGUGAGUGACGGUAAUGGGUAAAGAAGCACCGGCUAACUACGUG